rnacentral:rRNA from 1 species
GGAGUGACCGCUCUUUAAUCGGAGCUUUCCUUCGGGACACUCCAGACAGGUGGUGCAUGGUUGUCGUCAGCUCGUGUCGUGAGAUGUUGGGUUAAGUCCCGCAACGAGCGCAACCCUUAUCCUUAGUAGCCAGCGGUUCGGCCGGGCACUCUAGGGAGACUGCCAGGGAUAACCUGGAGGAAGGUGGGGAUGACGUCAAAUCAUCAUGCCCCUUAUGAUUUGGGCUACACACGUGGUCGACGCGGCCG